rnacentral:rRNA from 1 species
GACGAACGCUGGCGGCGUGCCUAAUACAUGCAAGUCGAACGCUUCUUUCCUCCCGAGUGCUUGCACUCAAUUGGAAAGAGGAGUGGCGGACGGGUGAGUAACACGUGGGUAACCUACCCAUCAGAGGGGGAUAACACUUGGAAACAGGUGCUAAUACCGCAUAACAGUUUAUGCCGCAUGGCAUAAGAGUGAAAGGCGCUUUCGGGUGUCGCUGAUGGAUGGACCCGCGGUGCAUUAGCUAGUUGGUGAGGUAACGGCUCACCAAGGCCGCGAUGCAUAGCCGACCUGAGAGGGUGAUCGGCCACACUGGGACUGAGACACGGCCCAGACUCCUACGGGAGGCAGCAGUAGGGAAUCUUCGGCAAUGGACGAAAGUCUGACCGAGCAACGCCGCGUGAGUGAAGAAGGUUUUCGGAUCGUAAAACUCUGUUGUUAGAGAAGAACAAGGACGUUAGUAACUGAACGUCCCCUGACGGUAUCUAACCAGAAAGCCACGGCUAACUACGUGCCA